GGCUAAUACCGGAUACGUUCCCUGGAUUGCGAAAUCUGGGGAGGAAAGGCGGCGCAAGCUGCCGCUCUUGGAGGGGCUCGCGGCCUAUCAGCUAGUUGGUGAGGUAACGGCUCACCAAGGCUAUGACGGGUAGCUGGUCUGAGAGGACGACCAGCCACACGGGAACUGAGACACGGUCCCGACUCCUACGGGAGGCAGCAGUGGGGAAUUUUCCGCAAUGGGCGAAAGCCUGACGAAGUGACGCCGCGUGGGGGACGAAGGCCUUCGGGUUGUAAACCCCUGUCAGAGGGAAAGAAGGGUGUCGGCGUGAUAACCGCCGGCACUUGACGGUACCUUCAGAGGAAGCCCCGGCCAACUCUGUGCCAGCAGCCGCGGUAAGACAGAGGGGGCAAGCGUUGCUCGGAAUCACUGGGCGUAAAGGGCGCGUAGGCGGGAUGGCAAGUCAGUCGUGAAAUCUCUCAGCUCAACCGAGAAACGUCGGCUGAUACUGCCGUUCUUGAGGGAUGCAGAGGAGACUGGAAUUCCCGGUGUAGCGGUG
rnacentral:rRNA from 1 species